AGAGGAAGACAGAGAGGCAUGGGGAAAUGAGGAUUUGGGGGGCAUAGACAGAGGGUUGCCAUGGUUGGAGAAAUUGGAGGUUCUUCGAUAGAUGACGCAACCCGAAGAAUGAUGGCGUUUAUAAUGUCACCUGACCUGGCACUGCAAUACAACCUCUUUGGACGUCAUGGGAAGAAACCCUUCAGGGAGCUACGUCUAUUUGAUCUUGUUUACGGAGCACUGAAGAAGAACAUCCUUACAAAGGACAUAAACCACAAGGAUGCGGAGAAGGCUUUCUCAAAAUGGUUUACAGGAGCUCGGGACAGAGGGGGCAAGCGGGCCGUCAGAGCACAGAGGGAGUUCAACAGAAGGGGUGAAACACAGGCUCUUCAGUCUCAAGAUGAGACACAAAUCCAAUAGAGGUCAACGAUCUGGUACUGGAGGUAAAAGUCUAUAUACGGACAAUUGUUUGUAUACGGAUUUUAAAAAAUGUCAGUUGAGGGUUUGAUUGGCAAAUUUAUUUUCAAAAACUAGACCUAAAAAAAAGUGGGUGGGCAGCGUUGUGACUGUCCUCCUGUGUGAAGAUUUGUGUGGGUUUUUUUUGUUCAAAGUUGGCAAUGUUCGUUUUCUGUUCAACCUUGUCACUCUUUUGUACCAUCUGUUCUAAACAUAUGCAGUUUGUGCAUUCACUAGUUACAGUGGGGUAGUUUAACUCAGACGGUGAUGAUGACACUGACUCAUAGUCCGCAAGUUGUUCUGCCUAUAUAGCCCAAAACCUCUUAUUCACACUGUUUUAAGUCAAACCAAAGCUCUACAAGGUUGAAAUUUAUACUUUUUUUUAAAAGAACAGUGAAGACCUAACUAUGGUAAAAGUAGUUAAAAAUAGUUCCCAUGCCUGCCAUUGUGGUUUCUGUUAUGUAUUCCAUGAUAUUUUGAGCAGUAAAGCGAAAGCAGCCAUUUGCAAUGCUUACAAUGCCCAAUGUUUAUGCAGUAAAAUGGCUAGUUUUUCAUGA